AUGUAUAGUUCUAUAACUGAUGUUCUUAAAAUGUUGAAAGAAGAUGUAUCCGCUAAAGAUGCAAGAGGGGAAGCAAAUGUUCUUGUGAUUCUAAUGAAUAUUUUUGAUUUUUCACUCACAUUGCAUUUGAUGAAAAAUAUUUUAGGUAUUUCAAAUGAAUUAUCACAAGCAUUGCAAACGAAAAAUCAAGACAUCGUCAAUGCCAUGAGCUUGGUUAACAUCACAAAGAAACGAUUACAAACGUUAAGAGAUGAUGGAUGA